GGGCGUACCAGUUUUCUCUCUCUCUCGCUGUUACAUGUACCAGGUUACAGUGAUCAUGAUUGCUAGUAUAUACGUGUAGCAUUCGUAACUGUCCAUCCAGUUUAUAAUAUCAAUGAUGGCGGACAGUAGAGAUUCGAUGGCUGCUCACCAAAGGCAAGGAAAUCAAAUCCAAGCUGACAAUAAUCAGAGAAUAACUCCAUGGAAAACUGAAGCGUUUAGACAUUGCUAUCCGGAACUUAUAAUGAAAUUGACACCGGAUACAAUAAGAAUCUACUGCUACAGCAAACUGCUAAUAUCCGACGUCCAAUAUGAAAUACUCAAAGACAUCAAAAGUCAGAUUACUCACAACGAGGAGCUGUUGAGUAUUUUGUCCAGUGGCAAUGAGGCGUCCUUUAUAAAGUUUAUGAAAGUUAUAAAAGAAAGGGAGCCCGUUUUCAAUUUCGAGGACGUUCUCAAGACAAUGGAGGAUAUUUUAUUACGUGAUAAGAAGCUUCUCAAUGGGGUGGCUGUAACCGAAGCUUAUAACGAUAAGCUCUCCUGGCAACUACGGGAGGUGGAGCGGGCAGCAGAGCGAUGUAAAAUCGUCUUCCCCCAUGAGCUGUCGGAAAACCAAACAGCUCGGAUAAGUACCAAUUUGAAUGAAUGCAAACAUAGCAUCCAAAAGGCAGAAAAUGCCAUAAAAACUUUAAAUGAUGCUGUGCCUUUCCAGCACAAUAACCUUCACGUAUUAGAGCUUGACAUUGAUCAGCAAUUAAAAAUAUUGCAUGAGCAUAAAACACAAUUGGCGCUCUUAACAGAGAAAUAUAAUUCUUUCUUGAUCAAGGCUCCAUACGCAUCUGCGCUACCAUCCUUGGAUGGGAUGACAUCGAAGCAGAAUGAAGGAACCACUGCAGGCCCCAACGAUGGCUCAAGGUACAGCUGUGUGGACAGAAUUAAUAUCUAUGUGAAGGAAUGAAGACAAUGAAUAUGCGUCUGCGGUAUGCCUUCGCGGCAGCGGUGCAAGGGCAGUGAAAGUGGCGAGUAGCGUUGAGUGAUAAGAAGGUAUAUUUGACGUGCUAAAGUCACACCAGCUGUACAUAAAGGUCAUGCGGCUAAACUUUAGAACAAGUGUCAAGUUGAAGACUGGUCAGGUGGAAAAGCCCAUUCAAAAAAGACACUGCAAAGCCUUACCAGAUUCGUUCUAACGUUUUGGCACUUGGCCCGCACUAGGUCACACGUAGUAGGUGCAUACAUUGUAACCAUGGCAAUGAUGCUAUCAGGCCAGGAAAGAGCUGCUUAUGCUAUACAAUCAUGUAGGUUAUGCCUAAAAUAUCUGUAAUUUCUCGCCUCAAAGUCAGGCUCCAGUCUAACUUCCAAAUGAGUUAUACAAAGACUGACAGCUUAUGUUGCCAAUACCACCUAUUGACGGCAAAUCUAUGCACUGGAAAAUGCAUCAGCAAAGGCGUGGAUGAUAAUUAUUGCAAAUGAAAACGAGAGGUGUCACUGUAUGAGUAGGUGAUGGUGCAACGGUUGUGCAAUCAUAAAAUCGGGAUUCAUGAUGUUAUCGUUCUGGAAUUUGAAAUACGGACUGUUUGUCGUGAUAAACCUAAUUAUUGACUUAGUGGUCAGUAUGAAAUAAAAAAACCUCAUAAAAGACCUCGGCUUCGCCUCGGUCUUUUACUCGGCUUUUAUUUCCUAUAUUGAUCUCGUUCUCAGUCAAUAUUUGUAAUUAUUAUUAGGUACUUAUUGUUGUGUUUUGUUUGAAUUUGUUGUCUUCAGGGAAUUACCAUCUUGGCGGGGCCAGCACAAUGCACAGCCGCUCACUCAGCCAGACAUUUCUCCCACUAUUUAUCUAAAAUAUGCUGCUUUCUUGAUUGCCUUUUCGGCCGUUUUUACCUUUUCUGUGGUGGGAGCUUUCCAUGCAGGGGUUAUAAUAACCGGUUUUUCCUCCAGGUGCACGCCGCCGUCAGGGUGUGGAGGUUUUUCCCGUCAGCUACCAGGCUGUAAAUUAUCUGACGGCCCCGAGCCAUGGCCACUUUCUGUUGGCUCAUAUAAUGCAACUCAUUUCUUCUUCCUUUAUGAUUUGCAUCGUGCGUUGCCGCGCUCUGGGAGUGAACUCAAUAAGAACAUCGCGGUUAUUAUAAACCCUUACUAGCAUGUUCAUGCACUAAGAGCCCUGUUAUUUGCACGCAGCCAUCAUGCAAUUGUAUCAAUACAAUCAUGAUCUUCUAUGGCAUCUACCAUGUACACGUACAAUGCCAUGUAUCUAUCACUGCCAAUACGGUUUGCACCAGAAA